rnacentral:rRNA from 1 species
UACGGGAGGCAGCAGUGGGGAAUAUUGGACAAUGGGCGCAAGCCUGAUCCAGCCAUGCCGCGUGUGUGAAGAAGGCCUUCGGGUUGUAAAGCACUUUUGUCCGGAAAGAAAAGUUCUCGGUUAAUACCCGGGGAUCCUGACGGUACCGGAAGAAUAAGCACCGGCUAACUUCGUGCCAGCACCCGCGGUAAUAA